AUUAUUAGUGUUUCAUAUUUAAAAAAAAAACUAUUACUCUUUGUUUAGUAAAUAUAAAAUUCUAUACGUAUUUAUAUAUAAGGAGUUACCUAUUUAUUUAUUUAUUUUGUAAUGAUCUUUAAUAUAAUAAACAAUAGUUACAAUAAUGGUUUUGGCUAGGUAUUAUAUAAAACAAUAUCUCAUUCUUAGUCUCUCACAAAAAUAAUAUCAUUAUAAUUAUAUUGGUAAGAAAAUGAAUCUUGGGUUUAAGAAGAUUAUGAUAUAUUGUUUUUAAUUGCAUUAUGAUAUAUAUAUAUAUAUAUAUAUUUUUUUUUUUUUUUUAGGAAUUGCAUUAUGAUAUAUUGUUAUUAAUUGAAGGGUGAAUUGGAAAAAUGACCCAAAUUUCUGGUCAAAUAGAAGAUUUACAAAUUUUCACCUUACCUUAUUUUGCUAUUUUUAUCCUAAUAACAUAUCAAGUCAUUUAAGAAGAACUAGCCUUUGACCCGCGCGCCCGCGCGGGUGUUUGUUCUUUAUAAUAUAUGUUUUCACUUUUAAAUGAUUUACACAAACAUAAUUGUGUGUGUUCUUGUUACAGAUUCAUACUUUAUGGAGUUUUGACAUAUUCUUGUUCAACGGUUUAAGGUUCAUUUAUAAACUAUAAGACCGUGUUUUAUAUUUAUUGUGUUUUAUUCAAUUUAAUUGGUACAGUAAACAUUAAAGCAUAAAAUAUUAGAGUUUUAAGUAUACUUGUGAGUUUUGUGAAAUUAAACUAUUAAUAUUUUGAUUUAGAAUUGAAUGUAAAACUUAUGAAAUUGAAUAUUAGAGUUUUAAAUAUAUUUAGAUUCUGGUUCGGUUUCAGUUCAGGUUCGGUUUUUGUGAAAUUAAACUAUUAAUAUUUAGAUUUAAAGUUAAAUAUAAAACUUAGAAAUAUAAAAUUCAGUAAUAUAAUUAAUAAGAUCCAAAUCCGAACCGAAUCUUAUUUUUUUGGUUAGAUUCUAUUCUUCAGUUUGAGAUAAAUGUGUCCAAGGCUAAUUUACAUUUUGGGAUUAUAUAAUUGUCGCAAGAAAAAAGUAAACAUAGUUUGGUUAUUUAUAUGUGCCAUAAUAUAUUACAAAGAAAAUAUUAUUUAUUAUGAUAUUAAUGGAGAAAGACCACAAAAGAAUAUGGGAAAUAUCAAUGUACACAUGUUUUUUUCAACCUUACUAAUUAUUUGUUUUUUUGUGCUUUUUUCUGUUGAACACAAAGUCAAAAUAUGUGACUUCUUUCAUCUUCUCCCGUAGGUUCACAACUUUUCUCUGCCAAUAUCCACCUUCAGAUCAGUGAAAAAAAAUAUGCCUAAAAUUUGCUUCCGGGAUUAUCAGCUGAUGAACCCAUUGAAAAACAUGUUCCACCCAAUUACGAUAUACAUAAAAGUGAAAAACAAAGGAGCAGAGCUGCCUCUUCUAAAAAAAAUCAGAACAGACAACAGAGUAAGCCCAUGUUUCCAUAUUCAGCCGUAUACAAAUCAUGUUCUUUUGAAACGACAUACAAUCUCAUCUAUGCAGUAAAAAUUCUACCAAAACCUUUACCUCAUCUCAUCGAAAAUAAGGAAGAUCUGAAACCUCCGAGCUAAGAAUUGCAUAUUCUCCACUGAUUGAGAUCCAAAAAAAAACCUCCAAUCUUGGUCGCUAUAACAUGUGAUUCUUUCCUCCAUUUAAUACAGACUAAUAUGACUGAAAAAUCAUAGAGAAACCCAGUAACCCUUUGAAUCUUCAUCGUUGUUAGGUUUGAGAUAGUUUCACAUCUUAAUCGUCGCAGAGCCGGAUAUUCAAAUAUUUUAAAGAUCCUUCACAUAUAUUAUUUAAGAAUUG
rnacentral:lncRNA from 1 species